GGGUGAUCGGCCACAUUGGAACUGAGACACGGUCCAAACUCCUACGGGAGGCAGCAGUGGGGAAUAUUGCACAAUGGGCGAAAGCCUGAUGCAGCAACGCCGCGUGAGUGAUGAAGGCCUUCGGGUCGUAAAACUCUGUCCUCAAGGAAGAUAAUGACGGUACUUGAGGAGGAAGCCCCGGCUAACUACGUGCCAGCAGCCGCGGUAAUACGUAGGGGGCUAGCGUUAUCCGGAUUUACUGGGCGUAAAGGGUGCGUAGGCGGUCUUUCAAGUCAGGAGUGAAAGGCUACGGCUCAACCGUAGUAAGCUCUUGAAACUGGGAGACUUGAGUGCAGGAGAGGAGAGUGGAAUUCCUAGUGUAGCGGUGAAAUGCGUAGAUAUUAGGAGGAACACCAGUGGCGAAGGCGGCUCUCUGGACUGUAACUGACGCUGAGGCACGAAAGCGUGGGGAGCAAACAGGAUUAGAUACCCUGGUAGUCCACGCUGUAAACGAUGAGUACUAGGUGUCGGGGGUUACCCCCUUCG
rnacentral:rRNA from 1 species